rnacentral:rRNA from 1 species
UACGUAGGGGGCAAGCGUUGUCCGGAUUUAUUGGGCGUAAAAGGCUUGUAGGUGGCCACGCCAAGUCGGAUGUGAAAUCUCCCGGCUCAACUGGGAGGGGUCAUUCGAUACUGGUGGGCUCGAGGCCGGUAGGGGGAAACGGAAUUCCCGGUGUAGUGGUGGAAUGCGUAGAUAUCGGGAGGAACACCAGUGGCGAAGGCGGCUUCCUGGACCGGUUCUGACACUGAGGAGCGAAAGCGUGGGGAGCGAUCCGG